AUUGAACGCUGGCGGCAUGCCUCACACAUGCAAGUCGAACGGUAACAGGUCUUCGGAUGCUGACGAGUGGCGAACGGGUGAGUAAUACAUCGGAACGUGCCUAGUAGUGGGGGAUAACUACUCGAAAGAGUGGCUAAUACCGCAUGAGAUCUACGGAUGAAAGCAGGGGAUCGCAAGACCUUGUGCUACUAGAGCGGCCCAUGGCAGAUUAGGUAGUUGGUGGGAUAAAAGCUUACCAAGCCGACGAUCUGUAGCUGGUCUGAGAGGACGAUCAGCCACCCUGGGACUGAGACACGGCCCAGACUCUUACGGGAGGCAGCAGUGGGGAAUUUUGGACAAUGUGCGAAAGCCUGAUCCAGCAAUGCCGCGUGGAGGAUGAAGGCCUUCGGGUUGUAAACUGCUUUUGUACGGAACGAAAAGCCCCGGGUUAAUACCCUGGGGUCAUGACGGUACCGUAAGAAUAAGCACCGGCUAACUACGUGCCAGCAGCCGCCGCCG
rnacentral:rRNA from 1 species